CUGAGCCUGAGGUUGGCCAUGAACUCGGGCAUGGAGACGGUGUCCAUCAGCACGAAGUCCGCCUUGCCGAACUCCAGGCUCUCCUGCUCCGCCAUGGCGCCGGCGCGGGGACUCAGGAUUAUUGCAGAUGACUUGAGCAUGGGACCAUCCUUUGGGCAUCCACCAAAUAGCUAUUGUACUACUUUGCGUAUAUAAAUAUGAAAUCCAUAUUGGUUCAAUGGAAUGAAGUGAGUUAGACAAAUUAUCCCUCUGUCACCCAGGCUGGAGUGCAAU